GAUGAACGCUGGCGGCGUGCCUAAUACAUGCAAGUCGAGCGAACGGACGAGAAGCUUGCUUUUCUGAUGUUAGCGGCGGACGGGUGAGUAACACGUGGAUAACCUACCUAUAAGACUGGGAUAACUUCGGGAAACCGUAGCUAAUACCGGAUAAUAUUUUGAACCGCAUGGUUCAAAAGUGAAAGACGGUCUUGCUGUCACUUAUAGAUGGAUCCGCGCUGCAUUAGCUAGUUGGUAAGGUAACGGCUUACCAAGGCAACGAUGCAUAGCCGACCUGAGAGGGUGAUCGGCCACACUGGAACUGAGACACGGUCCAGACUCCUACGGGAGGCAGCAGUAGGGAAUCUUCCGCAAUGGGCGAAAGCCUGACGGAGCAACGCCGCGUGAGUGAUGAAGGUCUUCGGAUCGUAAAACUCUGUUAUUAGGGAAGAACAUAUGUGUAAGUAACUGUGCACAUCUUGACGGUACCGAAUCAGAAAGCCACGGCGAACUACGU
rnacentral:rRNA from 1 species